UACGAAGGGGGCUAGCGUUGUUCGGAAUCACUGGGCGUAAAGCGCACGCAGGCGGAUCGAUAAGUCGGGGGUGAAGGCCCGGGGCUCAACCUCGGAAUUGCCUUCGAUACUGUCGGUCUCGAGUCCGGGAGAGGUGAGUGGAAUUCCUAGUGUAGAGGUGAAAUUCGUAGAUAUUGGGAAGAACACCGGUGGCGAAGGCGGCCACCUGGCUCGGUACUGACGCUCAGGUGCGAAAGCGUGGGGAGCAAACAGG
rnacentral:rRNA from 1 species